rnacentral:tRNA from 1 species
AUUUAAAUAGUUUAUGAAAAAAUUUUGAUUUGUGGUGUCAAAGAUAUAAAAAAAUUUAUUUUAAAUC